CCUUGACAGUGCUUGGACUCGAUGAACCAAUGGCAGAGACUUCAAUUUCCACAGUUUCCUCAGUUUUCACCUGCAAUCCAGCUGCUGAAGAAAGGAAGAGAGGCCGACCAAGGGCGAGAUGGAUGGACGGUAUCCUUGAAAGUGACUGGCUUGAUCUUGAAGGAACUGGGGGCGGUGACGGCAGACAGGGAGCUCUGGCGUGGACUGGUCCAUG
rnacentral:lncRNA from 11 species